GGUUAUCAACCUGUGAUCAGCAAUGACCUCUGAGCCCUCACAGUCAGCACAGGGUCAAUCGCUUGGCUAAGAAGUCAUUCAGCUGGAGUACCAACUGCCAGCUUCCCGGACAGGACAUUGGGCCAAGUCUGGGAUCAGAUAAGCAUCAACCGCUCCUCGAUAACCCUGAGUUGGACACUCUUGGCUUCUGUCUACUGAUGUCCAGCUGCAGUGCUUUGACCCUGUGGGUCUCUUCCUGGAAGACUUGUUGCAAGCUGGCUUCGUCCCUUAACUGAAGAACAUUGCACCUGUCAGGAACUACAUCAGGAUGGGCCAGACUCUGAAUGCAGUCACAGUGGUCCUCUAACUAGGACUGAAUACAUGUUCGAGGGCUCCUGGGUAACAAGAGGCAUCCAUCUGUCUCAGAGAACAUCGUGAUUGUUCAUUCUCUGAGGAAUGUAAAGUUCCCUGUGGCCUUGGUGUGGUAUGGAGGGGAACCAGAAUAUCUUUCAUGCCUUGAUGAGAGGGUGCAGAAAUGCUGAGAAAACCCAAAGUCCAGAAGAGGUCUGUGUUUGGAAUGAGAAAGUUGCAUCCAGCAAAGAAACCUCAUGAGAGGCUACAGCAGGACCACAGGCUCCAGCAGCAAGCGUCAGAAAAGCAGCUAAAAGAACCAGCCAGGACCUGUUGCAACUCAUCGGGCACAAGCACUAUGUGUCCAGAGACCCACAGAAAAGCAACACAGCAUGGAAAAUGAGUGAGGACUCACAGAACAGCACAGUACACAGCCCUGAGACUGCUUCCCUUUCUCCCAUAACGAGGAUACAUAAACUCCUGGAUUCAGAAACCAUGGUGGGAAGGAGCAGGGAGACCCUUGGAAGGAGGCAGCCCUGAGAGAGAGUUUGACAAAUUAAAAUUUUUCCUCUGUCAUUAACAGGAGUGGGAACUUGUUAAUAAGUUGUGAUUAGCUAUAGAUAAUACAGGAUGCUACCAUCUUGUAAACGUUCGUAUGUUUUUGACUACUUUUCUUUUCUUCCCCUUUACUAAACCAGAAUAUUUUGAAAGGGGAACUAGCAUUCGGGGUCAAACUUUGGGUCAUCAAAAGCUAUUGUGGAAAAUGAGAGGGAUAAAGAAUAUUCCAGAGAAAAAAAAAAGUGGGUGUAGGAUUUUCCUGAGGGAAUUUAGAUUGGGCUUAAUUCCUGUGUGAUUUAACCUUUUUUGGCACCCUCUCACUCCUGCAAUGAGCUUAGAAAAUGGGAAUGGGUCUCUGAAUUCCCAGUGAGGGAUGGGGGAAGAAACCCCUCUCUAAGUCCUGGAGUAGGCACGAGAGCUCCUGAGCUGACACCCCUAAUAUAUUGGCAAAAUGGUUCUUGGUUGCUUUAGAUUCUUAGUGUACUGUACUUUUUCUCCAUAUAAAAUAAUCUCUCUUUGCUCCACUAAUGUUUGGUACUUUGAAUUUUAUUUUGACUCUGAUAUUAAUCUUAUCACCCUGCUAGCUUUUAUUAAUAUUUGCCUGGUAUAUCAUUUCCUACUCCAUUAUCUGCUUUUGUUUUUUAACCAAUAGUAUUUUCCUUUCAAAACAUUUUUAAAAAAUGUUUUAACUUAUGCAAGCAAUACGUAAAGAUAUUCUCCUUUUAAAAGAGCAAAUGCAUUAUAUGUAUAAGGCUAAAGAUCCACUGAUUGUCUAUCAAUUCUGAUUCUUUCUUUAAAUUGCCGGUUACUGUGCUUUCACCACCUUUUUUGGGUCCUUGUCUCUUGAAUUUUUGCUUCUUUAUAUAUUCUGGAUAUUACUCCUGUACCCA